rnacentral:rRNA from 1 species
GUGAGUAACACGUAGUUGAUCUGCCUCAGAGAUGAGAAUAACUCACGGAAACGUGGGCUAAUGCUCAAUAAGCUCCCAUGCUUUAAAGGGAUGGGAGAAAAGCUCCGGCGCUUUGAGAUGAGACUGCGGGCCAUCAGCUAGAUGGUAGGGUAAUGGCCUACCAUGGCAACGACGGCUAGGGGACCUGAGAGGGUGACCCCCCACACUGGAACUGAGACACGGUCCAGACUUCUACGGAAGGCAGCAGUGAGGAACCUUGCACAAUGGGCGAAAGCCUGAUGCAGCGACGCCGCGUGGGUGAAGACGGGUUUCGGCCUGUAAAGCCCUUUUCUGUGUGACGAGAGUGGACGGUAGCACAGGAAUAAGUCUCGGCUAACUACGUGCCAGCAGCCGCGGUAAAACGUAGGAGGCAAGCGUUAUCCGGAGUUACUGGGCGUAAAGCGCGUGCAGGCGGGUCGGUCAGUGAGUUAUGAAAGCCCUCGGCUAAACUGGGGGAGGUUGACUCAGACUGCCGAUCUAGAGUGGAGAAGAGGAAGGUAGAAUUCCGCGUGUAGUGGUGAAAUGCGUAGAUAUGCGGAAGAAUACCAGUGGCGAAGGCGGCCUUCUGGUCUCCAACUGACGCUCAGACGCGAAAGCAUGGGUAGCGAACGGGAUUAGAAACCCCGGUAGUCCAUGCCGUAAACGAUGCACACUAAACGUUCGAAGUCCGAAAGGGCUUUGAGUGUUGAAGCAAACGCGAUAAGUGUGCCGCCUGGGGAGUACGAUCGCAAGAUUAAAACUCAAAGGAAAUUUGACGGGGGCCCGCACAAGCAGCGGAGCGUGUGGUUUAAUUCGAGGAUAC